GACGAACGCUGGCGGCGUGCUUAACACAUGCGAGUCGAACGGAAAGGCCCUGCUUUUGUGGGGUGCUCGAGUGGCGAACGGGUGAGUAACACGUGAGUAACCUGCCCUUGACUUUAGGAUAACUUCAGGAAACUGGGGCUAAUACCGGAUAGGAGCUCCUGCUGCAUGGUGGGGGUUGGAAAGUUUCGGCGGUUGGGGAUGGACUCGCGGCUUAUCAGCUUGAUGGUGGGGUAGUGGCUUACCAAGGCUUUGACGGGUAGCCGGCCUGAGAGGGUGACCGGCCACAUUGGGACUGAGAUACGGCCCAGACUCCUACGGGAGGCAGCAGUGGGGAAUAUUGCACAAUGGGCGGAAGCCUGAUGCAGCAACGCCGCGUGCGGGAUGACGGCCUUCGGGUUGUAAACCGCUUUCGCCUGUGACGAAGCGUGAGUGACGGUAAUGGGUAAAGAAGCACCGGCUAACUACGUG
rnacentral:rRNA from 1 species